AUAGGAGUAGAAUAGAGAAUAGAGAAUAGAAUAAGUAUGUGAAAAGAAGGACUCAUCUCUACAGUCAGUCUCAGAAAGACAGAACCCCAUGGCUUAUACUUUUAUGUCAAAUAUAGAGCCUUUCUUCUGCUAGUUGAAACUAAAGAUGCCAGACUUCCCGGAUGCAGGCUUUGGGGAACUGUCAUGUCACAGCCUCUCAUCUGGCCAUAGGACUACUGGGAUUUGAGAUGUGCUAUCACAUAAAUCUUUAUUUGUGUUCUGUGCACCAACACGCUGAUCAUCAUGCUCAGAAGCAAGUUCUUUACCCACUGAACCAUCUUCCUGCAGAAGAGCAUCUAUAAGAAUCACCUGUCAGUAAAAAAGCUGAUGGCCAAUGAGCUGAGGCAGGGAACACUGGUGAGAAGCAAAAGAAUUCUAGGAAAUAGUGCAAUAAUGAUGGGAGAUGUGGAGAGAAAAGAGAGAUGGACUGGACAGGUAUAUGAACUCAGAGAGAAAGAAGCCUACCUGGACUGAAGAGAGGUAGUUACAUGAUAGACAUAGAAAAGUUUGAAUGGGUUUAAGACGUUACAAGCUAGUCAGGGAAUGAAGCAAAGCUUAUAACCUAGGCACUUAAAAAUAAAUAAUUAGUCUCAGAGUUAUCAUUCUGGGAACAGGACUGGUGCAGUAACACAGAAUUUAAUCCUUUUUUAACAUA